rnacentral:rRNA from 1 species
AGAGUUUGAUCCUGGCUCAGGACGAACGCUGGCGGCACGCUUAACACAUGCAAGUCGAACGAGAGAAGAGGAGCUUGCUUUUCUGAUCUAGUGGCGGACGGGUGAGUAACACGUGAGCAAUCUGCCUUUCAGAGGGGGAUACCGAUUGGAAACGAUCGUUAAUACCGCAUAACAUAAUUGAACCGCAUGAUUUGAUUAUCAAAGAUUUAUCGCUGAAAGAUGAGCUCGCGUCUGAUUAGCUAGUUGGUAAGGUAACGGCUUACCAAGGCGACGAUCAGUAGCCGGACUGAGAGGUUGAUCGGCCACAUUGGGACUGAGACACGGCCCAGACUCCUACGGGAGGCAGCAGUGGGGAAUAUUGCACAAUGGAGGAAACUCUGAUGCAGCGAUGCCGCGUGAGGGAAGAAGGUUUUAGGAUUGUAAACCUCUGUCUUCAGGGACGAAAAAAGACGGUACCUGAGGAGGAAGCUCCGGCUAACUACGUGCCAGCAGCCGCGGUAAUACGUAGGGAGCGAGCGUUGUCCGGAAUUACUGGGUGUAAAGGGAGCGUAGGCGGGAUCGCAAGUCAGAUGUGAAAACUAUGGGCUUAACCCAUAAACUGCAUUUGAAACUGUGGUUCUUGAGUGAAGUAGAGGUAAGCGGAAUUCCUAGUGUAGCGGUGAAAUGCGUAGAUAUUAGGAGGAACAUCAGUGGCGAAGGCGGCUUACUGGGCUUUAACUGACGCUGAGGCUCGAAAGCGUGGGGAGCAAACAGGAUUAGAUACCCUGGUAGUCCACGCCGUAAACGAUGAUUACUAGGUGUGGGGGGACUGACCCCUUCCGUGCCGCAGCAAACGCAAUAAGUAAUCCACCUGGGGAGUACGACCGCAAGGUUGAAACUCAAAGGAAUUGACGGGGGCCCGCACAAGCAGUGGAGUAUGUGGAUUAAUUCGAAGCAACGCGAAGAACCUUACCAGGUCUUGACAUCGUAUGCAUAGCUCAGAGGUGAGUGAAAUCUCUUCGGAGACAUAUAGACAGGUGGUGCAUGGUUGUCGUCAGCUCGUGUCGUGAGAUGUUGGGUUAAGUCCCGCAACGAGCGCAACCUUUACUGUUAGUUGCUACGCAAGAGCACUCUAGCAGGACUGCCGUUGACAAAACGGAGGAAGGUGGGGAUGACGUCAAAUCAUCAUGCCCCUUAUGACCUGGGCCUCACACGUACUACAAUGGCUGUCAACAGAGGGAAGCAAAGCCGCGAGGUGGAGCGAACCCCUAAAAGCAGUCUUAGUUCGGAUUGUAGGCUGCAACCCGCCUACAUGAAGUCGGAAUUGCUAGUAAUCGCAGAUCAGCAUGCUGCGGUGAAUACGUUCCCGGGCCUUGUACACACCGCCCGUCACGCCAUGGGAGUCGGUAACACCCGAAGCCUGUAGUCUAACCGCAAGGAGGACGCAGUCGAAGGUGGGAUUGAUGACUGGGGUGAAGUCGUAACAAGGUA